AUUUAGAAAGAUCUCUCAGGCAUAAUAGAUAAUAUGUGGAUAAUGGACUAGGGACAGGCAAUUCUGGCAGUUUAUCAGAGUUCAGGGGUUGCAUGUCUUCUGCCAAAGUUCAUGGGCAACAUAAACAAUGAAGCUGAGAAACCUAGCAGGAAACAGCAAUUAAGUGGAAAAGAAGGUGAAGGCUGCAGCCCACCUGUCCUACCUGGAAUGCUCUCAAGAUGGCUUCCCCCAUCACACUGAAGGAAUGACAUCAAAAUUACUUUGUGAAAGCCAGGACCCCACUCCAAGCAGAUUCUGGUAAUAACGUCCCCAAAAAGGUGAAGACACAAAAAGUGACCAAGUGAGUAAAUAUUGAAGUUAUUGGGAACCAUAGUUCUCACUGCUGGAAAAGAACGAUACAAAUAUGGAAUGAGAUAACGCUUAGAUGAGCCAUCAACCUAGCUGCCAUCAACCUAGAUCCAUCUGCAGAGAUCCUAAAAG